rnacentral:tRNA from 1 species
GGGCGCUUAGCUCAGUUGGUUCAGAGCACUUCCCUUACAAGGAAGGGGUCGGCGGUUCGAGUCCGCCAGCGCCCA